AAUAUUUGUUUAGCAUAUAAUGAGGGAUUUGGUGAAAGUAAAUAUUGAUAAGUAAAAAGAGAAAAACUCCAGCAAUUUGAGUCCACUCUUUCUGCAAAAAUGAAAGAUUUGCAUAUAGAUGUGGCAGUUUGAAUUUGGCCCCUCCUUACUUUAAAUUUGACAGACAAGUUGAAAUCUGAAAGUGAGGCCCAACAAGGAAGUCACACUAGUAUACUGUGAGCAACUAAGCUGGGAGCAAGUCAUCAGACAAAGGAGAUAAAGCUAUAUCAGACUGAGCCUCGCCUGGCCUGGCCUCAGACACUAUAAGCCGUCCAAGGGAUUUGCUCUCUUUCUAAUUCAAGGUCACAGAGAUGACUACGACUACAACAUGGCGUCACCCUUCCCUGUGUAUCUGCUUGGUCUUGGAUGAGUGAAACGAUCCAAAUAUGGUGCUCUCACCAUAUGAUGGGACACUAGUAAAGCAAUGUCCUUUACAAGCCUCGGGCCUUCCCACGUGCCUGCCUCUAUCGUAGCAUCCCUAUAGGGAAGGAAAUGUCAACAAAAAAAAAAAAGCUUGUUAUUAUUAAUUGGAGAAAUGGCUGUAACAUUGUGAGCUCAUCACCGUUUUCAACAUCACUAUAGGAAUGAAGGAAGAGGGAUACAGAAAAAACACAACCGCUAUUUCUAUAUUUGGUUUGACUUCCAUCGGAAGGGAUAAAGUCAACUGCACAAGACAAUGCUGCCUCCUGCUGGAAAGAAUGUAGAGAGCCAUCCAAAUGACAACAACAAAAGCAGAUCGGCUUGAUUUUUUUAUUUUUAUUUUGUGAUGAAUACCAAAAAUACUUUUGUGACCAGAUAAAUAUCAUACAUAGAGCAUCAAGUCAUCCAACUAAACGGGGUUUUGCACAAGACCAAUUCGGAACACAAUCAACUUCCCUCCUCACUUCAUUUGCUUGAAAUAUUUGCACAAAUCAUUCAAACAAUAAAUACACAGCGCUGGGCAAACAUACUGGCCCGUCAUUAGAUUUGUUGUUGUAGCAGACUAUAUUUUUUUUUUGUACGCACAAAAUAAUUCUGGGUUGUUUUGCGUGACCCGGUUUUGGAUUUUGAGCAGAUUGGGUUAAUAUUCAGGUACCUUUUUGGUGGGUUAGAUAAAAGCAUAACACAAUGUAAAAAAUAAAAAAUGAACACAACACAAACCAAACCCGCACACAAAAAUAAAAUGAAUGCAAUGGAAAAAAGUCAUUGGAACAACAAAACUAGUGUCAGCCUUACACGUUUGCUCAGCACUGCAUUUAUACUGGUAAAAACAUAAAGUGGGUCCAUGACACAUACGGGAACAAGAACAACCCAGUUAUUAUUAUUAUUUUUUUUUUAAACAACUUCUCAUAACUUCAAACACAUGCUCAAGGAAUGCCGUUAGUAUUCCAUCCAAGUUUCGAAAUUUCCCAAAGGUAUCCACGCUCGCGACAUAGGCAAGUAUCGGCCGGCAGCCAAGGCAUUGGAUCGUAUGGCAAAGAACUCCACUUGUCGCGCUCAGGCCUUGAUGGGGAUUGGCAAAAAAAAAAAAAGUUCUCAAGGCUCAAGCCCCAACCGGGACGGAUCUUCAGCUACCUGCACCACACGCUCGAGUAAGGCACAUGAGACACAACGCAGGAGCUAACCUGCUGGCAAAUUCCCCAUAUAGAAAGAAGACGGGCUCUCGAACCAGAGCUUAAGUUUCUUACCUUUUUCGGCGUGCGAAGGAAUGUCUUCGAUUUAUAACAAAUGGAAGGAAGCGGUUUCAGUGCAUCAUCCAAUAGGCUCAUUUCAUAACGUGCAGUCGGUUCCCGUUCUCAGCUCGCCAGUGCGAUAAUAGUGAGUUUACAUCGUAGAUGCCAAUGUGAGACGAUAAAUAUUGUAAAUGUAAAUAUUGAACAAGAUCAACAGGUCUUAUACCAUCAAUAAAAUCCACACCACUCACAAAAUCAGGUGAAAUUUCCGAAAAGUUUUGCCAGUGAACCUAAUUUGACCUCAUUUAUAUUUUAAAAUGCACGUUUUUGUACUUUCUGCGUAACUUGAUGGUCGCUAACAAGCCGAAGUGCAAAAGUCCCAACGGACAAAAAUGUCUACUUUUAUAUUUGCAAUGACUGAGUACUGUUGAUGAGUCAAAAUGCAAACAGCAUGAUGAAGAGGACUGUUGAAAUAUUCAUUUGAAAUGAACUAGGAAAUUUACAGGUUGUGAAUUUUACCUUUCAGCUUCUUGUUAGGGAUCAGCAAAAU